UACGUAGGGGGCAAGCGUUGUCCGGAUUUAUUGGGCGUAAAGAGCGUGUAGGCGGCCAUGCAGGUCCGUUGUGAAAACUCGAGGCUCAACCUCGAGACGUCGAUGGAAACCGCACGGCUAGAGUCCGGAAGAGGAGAAUGGAAUUCCUGGUGUAGCGGUGAAAUGCGCAGAUAUCAGGAAGAACACCCGUGGCUAAGGCGGUUCUCUAGUACGGUACUGACGCUGAGACGCGAAAGCGUGGGGAGCGAACAGG
rnacentral:rRNA from 1 species